rnacentral:lncRNA from 1 species
AUGGUUCUGUGCUACACUAUGGUCGUGGGCCUCAACAAGGGCCACAAGUUGACCAAGAAUUUGAGCAAGCCCAGACACAGUCGUAGCCUUGGGCGCCCGACCAAACACACCAAGUGUGUGCGGGGCAUGAUCCAAGAGGUAUGUGGCUUCACCCCAUACGAGCGGUGCACCAUGGAGUUACUGAAGGUCUCCAAGGACAAACAAGCCCUCAAGUUCAUCAAGAAAAGGGUGGGGACACACAUCCACACCAAGAGGAAGCGGGAGGAGCUGAGCAAUGUCCUGGCCAUCACGAGGAAAGUUGCUGCUAUGAAAGACUGA